AUUGAACGCUGGCGGAAUGCUUUACACAUGCAAGUCGAACGGCAGCACGGACUUCGGUCUGGUGGCGAGUGGCGAACGGGUGAGUAAUACAUCGGAACGUGCCCAAUCGUGGGGGAUAACGUAGCGAAAGCUACGCUAAUACCGCAUACGAUCUAAGGAUGAAAGCGGGGGAUCGCAAGACCUCGCGCGAUUGGAGCGGCCGAUGGCAGAUUAGGUAGUUGGUAGGGUAAAGGCCUACCAAGCCGACGAUCUGCAGCUGGUCUGAGAGGAUGAUCAGACACACUGGGACUGAGACACGGCCCAGACUCCGACGGGAGGCAGCAGUGGGGAAUUUUGGAAAAUGGACGCAAGUCUGAUCCAGCCAUUCCGCGUGCAGGAUGAAGGCCCUCGGGUUGUAAACUGCUUUUGUACAGAACGAAAAGGCUCUGGUUAAUACCUAGGGCUCAUGACGGUACUGUAAGAAUAAGCACCGGCUAACUACGUGCCAGCCGCCGCAGUAA
rnacentral:rRNA from 1 species